UACGGAGGGGGCUAGCGUUGUUCGGAAUUACUGGGCGUAAAGCGCGCGUAGGCGGCUUUGUAAGUUAGAGGUGAAAGCCCGGAGCUCGACUCCGGAACUGCCUUUAAGACUGCAUCGCUAGAACGUCGGAGAGGUGAGUGGAAUUCCGAGUGUAGAGGUGAAAUUCGUAGAUAUUCGGAAGAACACCAGUGGCGAAGGCGGCUCACUGGACCGGCAUUGACGCUGAGGUGCGAAAGCGUGGGGAGCAAACAGG
rnacentral:rRNA from 1 species